rnacentral:miRNA from 1 species
CCUGUUCAGUGAUUGUGGUGUG